UUCACCUUGUGAUUGUCUCCAGCACCUCCCGGUGUCGCUUAUUUUCCCCAGUGUAUUUAUCCAUGUGUUUCCUGUCUCUCUGUGCCAGUUUGUCUUGUAUGUUUUUCAUGUCAACCAGAGUGUUUUCCUGUACUCCUGCUUCUAUUCUCUUUUUGCUAGUCCUCCCGGUUUUGACCCUUGCCUGUUUUCUGGACUCUGUACCCGCCUGCCUGACCGUGCUGCCUGCCUGCUGCUCUGUACCUCCUGGACUCUGGUUUGAACCUUUUGCCUGUCCUCGACCAUUCUCUUGCCUACAAUCCUUUUGGAUUGUUUAGUAAAUAUCAAAGAUAUCUGCCUCCCGUGUCUGCAUCUGGGUCUCUCCUUGUGCCUUUAUAGGGCCAACCUAUUGCAAUGAAAUACAAUACCCUACAAAAACCCAAAGUGACGGUCUACUCAGAGUCCAACCCUGAGUCGAAGGUGAACAUCCUACUAUGUCUGGCUGGAGACAUGUUUCCAGACUUGGUCAAGAUCUCAUGGAAGCUGGAGGAUAAAAACGGCAGAGCAGUUGAGGUGCCUAAAGCAGAGGGGGAACAGCUGGAGCAGAGGGAGGAAGGGCGGACGACCAGUAUGAUCAUCAUUGAUAAAGAGAAGAUGGACAGGAACAAAUACAUCUGUUCUGUGGAGCAUGAAGGGGGCCCUCAAGAUGUUUACAUGCUAAAAGAUAAACCAACUGAAGCUCCGCGAACCACCGUGGCUGCACCAACCUGUCUGUUCAGAAAUGACACGCAGCAGUCACAGACUCUACAUCUUGCCGACGAAUCCUUCCAGUCAACAUUUAGUCUGAACCUGGCCUCUCUGGUUUACACAGUGAUGAUAGUGAAGAGCAUGGUGUACUGCUGUGGGCUCUCUAUCCUGCUGCACCACAGGAGCUUGGGAAGAGGACCCAGCACCUGUAGACACAUUCAUUGAAAGGAGACCAUCCCCCAUGUAUGGAUAGAAUUAUACUGGGCGGUAAACAACAUGGACUUUACAUCCCAUUGAGGUGUAACAUUCCAUUUGUAUUGCUUUUAUUUUUCCUGCUUUAUUUUUUAGAUGCUACAAUAUUGUGAGCCAUAGUUUUCCAUGUCUUCUAAUAGCUCCAACUGCCAAAUAUGACAAUUGCAGCACAUUUAAUUUUGUAUAUGGAGUAAUGUUACCCUCCUUAUGUGGGAGCUACCCACUGCAGACACACGAAUAAAGGUUUUCUGGAAAAUAAGCAGAGCAAAUCUUGAAUGUAAAUAAAUUAUGAUUUUUAUUUAGAUUUGGUAAAGUUGCCCUGCAAUAUGUCAGAGGUAGGCCUAAAUUAUACUCACAACUUGAAUUUAAUUUAUACAAAAUAUUUACCUAAAUAUGUAGGCCCAUGAGUUCUAAAUCAUUAUCCAAUAUAAUAUGUUGUAACUUGUCUUGUAUUGAAGUGUAAUUUUUCUCAAGAAAUUUGUUUUUCUAACAUAUUAUUUCACAUCUUAAUUAAUGAGUAGGAUAAUCAAUUGUUGCUUUAAAUAUCUAAAUGCUGAGUGCUUAUUGAGCAUAAAAAUUGGGCUAUGCGCACAGUCAUUUAUUGGUGCUUUUUUUUACAUUUAAUACAAUGUUUUUUUAUGCAGCUUUUAUGAAGAGUAACACAGCCUGCUCAAAUUAACCAAGUUGCUCAAAAUAAUAAUAUCCUUUCAGAUGAGGAUGGAUUUAAAAAAUGCUGCCUUUGCGAAUGAAAAGUCACAACAAUGGUUCUGCAAAUUAUUGUAAAUAACUUUUUUACAGUUCCUUUCUGCUUUGUAUGAAUAAAGGCUACCUAAUCCCCCCCCCCCCAAAAAAAAAAAUAUAUAUAUAUAACAUAGCAUUUCUUUACUAUAAGAUCAUCUAUUCAUAUUUGUGAAUGUUAUUUGAUUGAAUCUCAUCAGAAGUGAAACAAUAAAAUUGUAAGAUCUCCUAUUCUCUGUUUUCAACUUGUUUGCUUCAAUGUGCAUGUACCAACACAGAUGUUGAGCCUAGACUCAAUAGUGGUCGGAAAAUGUGGUUAAUGUAUAUUUGGUUUUCUGAAGAAAUGUGAAACGGUAGUUACUGGAAACAAGAUAUAGCUACCUGCAUAACCACAGCUUGAGUGUGUGAAGAGGUAGUUAUCCAAAGCUGCUGGAUGGUUCAUUUUUAUCUUGGUCCGUUUUCAGCUCCAUUUGUGGGUUCGGCUCCUGCCAUCGAAUUGAAGAAUAUGACACCGAUGGGAAGACGAGUCCAUAAUGGUAGCUUACGGUUCCUGCAUUUGUAGAAUUAUAGCCCUAUGACAAAACAAGCUUCAGUUUGUGUACUUUUUUUAACCUUGAAACAAUCAAAUUAAAUGAAAUCAGGGUUGAAUGUUUAGUUAGUUUCCUUUCCAAAGAUGUGUUAAAAACAAACAUUGUUAUCCAAAGUAGUAAAUACAGUAGACUUAUGUUUCCGUUAUGUUAUUACCAUUUAUUCUGUUUUAAUGUAACGCCCUAACAAAAUGUUGUCUUAAUUGCUUUCUUUUAUCUACACUUCCCAAAGAAGAACAAUAUGUGCAAGUGUUACAUUUCAUUAAAAUCUUAAGAAAUGCAAAACAGAA